rnacentral:sRNA from 1 species
GAUAAAGGAAGAAAGAAUAGUGAAAAUAGACUUAUUUUAACUGCUUUGGCAGUCAAGAGUCAAGAAAUAACUCAAAGAAAACCUGCUUUCUAUAUAUCUAGACAAUAUUUGUAUUUCUAUAUUGAUAUUUAGAACUAGUAGUCUGUAUGAUGUGGAUUAAUUAGUAUUGAUUCAUUGUCUCUACUAUCAGUGAAUGCCACUGAUAAUGAUUGAUGAUCAACCUUCUUUGUCUCAGUGGCCUAUCAAUUACAAAUAGAGUUCAACAUGACAUGGUCAGGCUAACGAGGAUUGUGAACGAGAAAGUGGUAA